rnacentral:rRNA from 1 species
AUUGAACGCUGGCGGCAGGCCUAACACAUGCAAGUCGAGCGAGCGGCGGACGGGUGAGUAAUGUAUGGGGACUGCCCGAUAGAGGGGGAUAACUACUGGAAACGGUAGCUAAUACCGCAUACUAUCGGAUAACCCAUAUGGGAUUAGCUAGUUGGUGGGGUAAUGGCCCACCAAGGCGACGAUCCCUAGCUGGUCUGAGAGGAUGAGCAGCCACACUGGAACGGAGACACGGCCCAGACGACUACGGAGGCAGCAGUGGGGAAUAUUGCACAAUGGGCGCAAGCCUGAUGCAGCCAUGCCGCGUGUAUGAAGAAGGCCUUCGGGUUGUAAAGUACUUUCAGUCGUGAGGCGUUACCGAAAGAAGAAGCACCGGCUAACUCCGUGCCAGCAGCCGCGGUAAUUG